UGUGAGUAAACAAAGGGCACAGGCAGUAUGACACUCAGACACAGACCGCCCAGCUGCUCUUUGCCAAGGCCCUGCCAGCCAAGGUGCCCAGCUCUCUCUUGUUUCUCAAGAGGCUUUUGACUCUAGUAAGCUGUCUUUUUAUUCGCAUGUUUUCCAGGACUCAAAGGCACACUAAAGGCAGUUUCGGGAGGGAAAAUAAGGUUGUCCCUCAAGUUUCAUCAAGACCCACAGAGGAAGGCUGUGUGGCUCUCUGAUGGUGGGGGGGGGGCACCCGCAGGCACCAUUUUGUCCCUCCCUGUGUGAGUCUACUCGCUAAAGGUGGUUUCUGGACCCUUUGCUCCAACACAGACACACCCUCCUGUUCCAUUUGUGCAUAUAGCCUGGAGUGGGUGGGGAACAGAUGAGCGAAUACAUGACCCUGUAUAAUAAACACUGAGACAGAAUGGUCCCAAAGCCGCCUUCCUAGGAGACACUGACUGGCUGAGCUGCUGUGGGAGCUCAGAGAAAGGACCUCUCAGGACGCUGGCACAAAGAUCUGGACACAGAGGCUGCUGACUUGCCCUGGUCACCUGACCUGGGCGUGGCAGGGCUGGAGCUCAAACCUCGUUCUGAUCACAAACCACCUCAUACUGUUGGGAUAAGGAACCCAGGCUGGAGGAGGAAUGGCCCAGCUCUGGAGAGGAGCCUGUCCCAGCAUGAGGUGCAGUGACUGUUUAGAUAGAAAGCUGCAGCCCACACAGAAGCACCCAGAGGCAGUGGGUCUCGGGAAUGAAUAGACGGGUUACUCACUUUGAAAAACUAACUUCCUAUUUUGAAAACAAUCACACAUGAAUUAUUCAUCGCAAAGUCCUCCUGCUUAGUCCUUUCACAAAAAACAUAUGCAAUGGAGAGGAAGAAAAUGUCUGCAGGCAAAUGUUUCCCAGCCUGGAGGGUUGUGAAGAACCAGGGAGGCGAGGGAGCCUUCCACAGCCUGUCCACUGGGCUGGGUGCGCAGUUCCCUGGGGGCACAGAGCACCACAGAGCAAGCCUGGCCUCGCUGGCAAGCUUUGUGGAGAAGACUGAACUCCCCCAAGGCACCCCGCACGCCUCUCAUCUGCAAUGAACACAAUCCAGAAGACGUCUCCUCAACACCUGCCAGCAACUCACAGGCAGCAGGGCUUAGCCACAGCCUGGUGAACAGACAGAACACCCUUUAUCCAGCCAAACCCUGGCUUCUCUGGGAGACACUCUCCUGAAAGUCCACUGAAGAGCAACAAACCAGUA